CUGCUCUUUCAGGUGAUCGCUCCCGCGUAUGCGGGAGAGGAACAUCCGGGCACCAACGGAAUGCCUAGCGGGUAACACCCGUCGCUGCGUCAGAUAUAAGGUAAAGACGUAGUAGGAAUAGUGCCACAGAGACGAGCCCCUUUGGUGGGGCGUGAAACGCCUCGGAGCACCGAGGACCCCGCCACCAUAGGCGAGGGCGGUAAACUCUAGGUGGUGUAAGGAGGAUUUGGGUGAUCGGAACAUUUGAUGAUUCCGUCAUACCGAUUACCCCUCCGCAUACUCAUUAUGAGUUGAGGUCAUUGAGCAAUCAUGAUCACAGAUAGAUGAUCACCCAUCUCGCUCACGCGGGAGGACAAAACCCGGAGUAUAGAAAGAGCAGAUCA
rnacentral:RNase_P_RNA from 1 species